CGCUUCUCUCUCUCACCAGCAGGCCACGCCGCCGCUGCACCACCGCUCUCCGGAUCAUCGGCUGUCCCCCUCCUCCUCCUCCUCGCCCACUCACCGGCCAUCCCUGCUGCGGUGCCGCGCGUUCAAGCAGGAGGCCGACGACGGCGACGGCGACCCGACUGAGGCCGACGCGCGGAAGCGCAGGAAGGGCCCGAUGUACAAGCUCAAGGCGGCGAUCCAGGGCCUCGCGGGAUCUCGCUCCGCCGCCGCGGAGGUGUAUGGGGGAGAGUACCAGUUCCAGCGCGCCGUCGAGAAUUUGUGCGAGCCAAGGUUCCCCAAUCCACUCACGCGCGCGCAUCGCUGUGGUUUCCUGUGUUGCUUUCCACCCUCGCGCGCUCUUCUUCUUCAUGGAGCCAUGGCAGGAAGCGGCAACAGGAGAUUUGGCCGGGAUAUGGUGUCUAGCAGCACACAUUUCUCCCAAUGGCAGAUGGUCUGGGUUGGAGACCACGUUCCUGGCGGCAGAGUCGAUCUGCAAUGUGGAGGUCCAAUCUGGCCACCGAUGUCAGCUCGCUCCGGAGCCAAUUCCGAUUCCCUAGCAGUGACGACGUUCAGAUGCAGCUUCAGAUGCAGCGACGACCUCUCUCUCCAUCCAUGGAUCUCUAGGCAACUGCGAACAAGGGAACCAGGCAUCAAAAUGAAGGGAACCAGGAAUCGAAACGGCCCCGAGAAUCCCAAAGCACGAGAAGGGGAACAAGGGAACUAGGCAUCGUGAAGAGAGCCCGGGGUGAUGAAUUGUUACGGUUCAUGGACGGAGCAAGCAAGGAGCCUCUCCGCAAGAGUACUUGCUCUGUUCCACAAUUUGAUUCAGAAAAAAAAAACAAAUAUUCACCUUUAUUGCAAUCAAACAAGAUAUCAGGGACUUGAAAGUGGCGAAAGAGGAGCAAGACAUUGGGUUUUAUGCUGGUUUUGUUGGGGCUACCUAUUUCCUUGGAAGGGCCAUCAGCGCCAUGCCAUGGGGCAUGUUCGCUGACAAGUAUGGAAGGAAGCCAUGCAUCGUGAUCAGCAUCCUCUCAGUGAUUGUGUUCAACACACUGUUUGGACUUAGCACAACUUACUGGAUGGCAAUUGUGACUAGGGGAUUACUUGGGUUGCUAUGUGGUAUACUUGGACCCAUCAAGGCUUAUGCUUCAGAAGUCUGCAGGAAAGAGCACCAAGCUCUGGGAAUCUCUCUUGUUACAUCUUCACGAGCCAUAGCUCUUGUUAUUGGGCCUGCUAUUGGAGGCUUCCUUGCACAGGGAUAGUGGUCGACAAAAAUAUUUCUAGCAUCAGGAAGGUUUCCAUAAUUCCUUCCUUGCUUUGUAAUAUCGUUGCUAGCAGCAGGAUCAUGUAUUGCAUGCAUUUGGCUUCCGAUAGAAUUGGCAAUAUACCUAUUUUCCUACACAUCCAAUGGGGCCUUGGGGACGCCCUCCAUGGCAAACACAGCCACUUCCAUCACCAGCGGAUUCCGGCUCUCAUCAAGUGACUCCUUUCCCUCACAUUGACUUUGCGGACAGAUGUCUCAAUUCUAGUGGUGGAGCUACGAACAACAAUCCGAUGUCCUGAUCGAGAGCGAUGGAGCUAAUGUUUGAACUUGUGUGUUUGAACUUGUGAACUAAAAAUGUGAACUAUGGAUGUGAACUUGUGUGAAUAUGUGAACUUAUUUAUUUAGACAUAUGUGAAUUUGUGAACUUAUAUAUUUGGACUUGUGUG